AGAAGUCCCUGCUUCCACACAAUUAGAUUCUCAAAACUAAACCCUAUUCAAUAGUAGAGAUCGUUGCUGUGUGCUAGAAGUAGAAGACUAGUUCUGUUAUUCAUUCAAUGGCGACUCCAUCAGGUAAGUCAUCCUUGCGACUAAUGUAAUGUUAUGAUUUGGUUGUUACUAAUCUGUUUGUUCAUGUUGGUAAUCCUAACACUGCGUUGCUAAUAUUAUUAGCUUAAUUCUUAUGUAAUUCUUACAUUAAAUUAUCGUAAUGUAUACAAGCUGAUGUUGUGGGGACCGAUCGAUGACUUACCAACGGACCUCCUGCAGUUUCCCAACUUCACCAAGUUAUGGUUGUCUCUAAGUGACCUCAUGGCCGACCAAAUGGCAAUGCUAGAGAAGAUACCAAACCUGAGAUCUCUUCGCCUUAACUCAGCAUUCGCUUAUAAUCAGGGUUCGACAAUGGUGUUCUCAAAGGAGGCUUUCUUCGUCUUGAAUCUCUUUCCCCUUUCUUGUUGACAAACCUAGAAGAGUGGAAGGUGGAGGAAGGAGCCAUACCUCGUCUUGAUCGAUUGCACAUUGGUUCCUGCAGUAAAUUGAAGACAGUUUCAGAUGAUCUGAGAUAUAUCACUACCCUCCAAGAAUUGACUAUCAAUUGGAUGCCUAAAAGAUUCUAGUAGGCUUAAUGAAGGAGGAGAGGAUAUUAUAAAGUCCAACAUGUUCCUUCCCUUGUACUUGGGGAACCGAUGAAAUAGGUUUCCAGAUUCUCUUCUGACUUGCCUUCCUCUCUAUGUUCAAGACCAAACCAACUUCUUCCAUUCAGUAUAUGUGAUUCGUUAUGUUUCAAAAUAUCAAAAGAGGAGUGCGCGGAGACAGUAGAAUCAUUUCAUUUCAAUUGCCGUUCUGUUGCUGUGGAAGUCGUUUGCCGCUCCUUGUGCCACCCGUGGUCUCAUUUUUACGGUUUAUUGUGUCUC